GAUGAACGCUGGCGGCGUGCCUAAUACAUGCAAGUAGAACGCUGAAGCUUGGUGCUUGCACCGAGCGGAUGAGUUGCGAACGGGUGAGUAACGCGUAGGUAACCUGCCUCUUAGCGGGGGAUAACUAUUGGAAACGAUAGCUAAUACCGCAUAAAAGACGAUAUCGCAUGAUAUUGAUUUGAAAGGUGCAAUUGCAUCACUAAGAGAUGGACCUGCGUUGUAUUAGCUAGUUGGUGAGGUAACGGCUCACCAAGGCGACGAUACAUAGCCGACCUGAGAGGGUGAUCGGCCACACUGGGACUGAGACACGGCCCAGACUCCUACGGGAGGCAGCAGUAGGGAAUCUUCGGCAAUGGGGGCAACCCUGACCGAGCAACGCCGCGUGAGUGAAGAAGGUUUUCGGAUCGUAAAGCUCUGUUGUAAGAGAAGAACGAGUGUGAGAGUGGAAAGUUCACACUGUGACGGAACUACCAGAAAGGC
rnacentral:rRNA from 1 species